rnacentral:rRNA from 1 species
GAUGAACGCUGGCGGCGUGCCUAAUACAUGCAAGUCGAGCGAACAGACGAGGAGCUUGCUCCUCUGACGUUAGCGGCGGACGGGUGAGUAACACGUGGAUAACCUACCUAUAAGACUGGGAUAACUUCGGGAAACCGGAGCUAAUACCGGAUAAUAUAUUGAACCGCAUGGUUCAAUAGUGAAAGACGGUUUUGCUGUCACUUAUAGAUGGAUCCGCGCCGCAUUAGCUAGUUGGUAAGGUAACGGCUUACCAAGGCAACGAUGCGUAGCCGACCUGAGAGGGUGAUCGGCCACACUGGAACUGAGACACGGUCCAGACUCCUACGGGAGGCAGCAGUAGGGAAUCUUCCGCAAUGGGCGAAAGCUUGACGGAGCAACGCCGCGUGAGUGAUGAAGGUCUUUGGAUCGUAAAACUCUGUUAUUAGGGAAGAACAAAUGUGUAAGUAACUAUGCACGUCUUGACGGUACCUAAUCAGAAAGCCACGGCUAACUACGUG